rnacentral:rRNA from 1 species
GACGAACGCUGGCGGCGUGCUUAACACAUGCAAGUCGAACGAAGUGGCGAACGGGUGAGUAACACGUAAUCAACCUGCCCUUAACUGGGGGACAACAGUUGAAAAAGACUGCUAAUACCGCAUCCUGAUUGAGUGGUUUGCGUGUGAUUAGCUAGUUGGAGGGGUAACGGCCCAACAAGGCGAUGAUCAGUAGGCGGUCUGAGAGGGUGAACGGCCACAUGUGGACUGAGACACGGCCCAGACUCCUACCGGAUGCAGCCGGGGGGAAACUGUCGAAAUGGACGAAAUUCUGAAUGAGCAAAGCCGCGUGAGUGAUUACGGCCUUCGGGUUGUAAAGCUAUGUUAAUCGGGACGCGGUACCGGAAGAGAAAGCCACGGCUAACUACGUGCCAGCAGCCGCGGUAAUUC